rnacentral:rRNA from 1 species
UACAGAGGGUGCGAGCGUUAAUCGGAAUUACUGGGCGUAAAGGGCGCGUAGGCGGCCUGUCAAGACUUUUGUGAAACCCCUGGGCUUAACCUGGGGACUGCAAGGGUGACUGAUGGGCUAGAGUACGGUAGAGGGCGGUGGAAUUUCCGGUGUAGCGGUGAAAUGCGUAGAUAUCGGAAGGAACACCAGUGGCGAAGGCGGCCGCCUGGACUGAUACUGACGCUGAGGCGCGAGAGCGUGGGGAGCAAACAGG